CACACCGGCGCGCGCGCGCACACACACACAUAUCUGCACAUGAGCACACACACAACUCCACACACGGACGCGCGCGCUCUUCUUAAAGGAGACGGCUUGUGAAGGGGAACCGCUACUGUACCGCGCACUGGAAGUAACCAGACCUCCAGAAGGGCCCUGCGUUGGGACGAGGUCCUUGACACACCGCCCACCCCCUCUUCCCCGAGACUGGAACCCAGCAACCUGGGCGGCUCCAUCCUUUCAUCUCGCCCACCCCCUCCCGAGCGUCUAGAAACAACCAGCAGAGGGGAAGAGGAGCCCGCGGGAAAGAAAUGCAGGAGAGGUUGAGAAUAAAGGCUGCUCCAGGUGUGACAGCUACCUCGGUGAGGUGGAAGACGGAAUUGACAAGGCAAAUUUCAUGGACCUUAUAUCUGUGCUAGUCUAAUAAGCCUGACGAAACAGUUCCCCAUAUGGACUCAUCUGGGUACCUGUGGAUAUGUAAUCACUUUCCUUGUCAGGAACUUGUGAGAUUCAGUUGGUCAGUUGGACCCCUGGUUGUCACCAUGUCAUGUGGCCCAUGUCUCAGGAGGACUCACCUUAUAAGAUUGAAAUAGUUCUUCAGGUUGAAGAAGACAGAAGUGAAACAAAAUUUGAAUACUUCAUCUCUGUUGAUAGAUGACUUAAAUGAAAAUCACCCCUGAAGAGUAUGACUGUUUCCAUCUAUUGUAUUUUUCUUACUCUGAACAUAGCUUUAAAAAUCUCAAAUCAUAAUUUAAAAAAUCUCAAAUCUUUUUGUGUUUAAUAAAUGUAACUACAUUGUGAGCUUUGUUAUCAAGACAUCAUUAUUCCUUUUCAUUAUAUUUAAAAAAUAUUUGCUUGAUUAUAUGCUUAUAUGCUGAGCACAAUUGUAAAAAUAAUUACAAAUUCACAAAAUGUGUUGUUAAUGAAAUCACUACCUUAAAUCAGAAUUUACGAUCUAAAUUGUGUAAAAAAUGGUAGUUUUUAGCUAGUAAGAAGUAAAUUACUAUAAAGUGCCACCUUUGAAGGGAAAAGUACUGUUCCAUCCCUCCAAAACAGGGUUUCAAUAUGUAAUUUUGUGAAACAACUCUCCUCACUCCAUAUGGACCCUAUUAAGUCACUACUACAAUUAAAUAAAAGCAGAUGUUA